ACAGGAGUGGUGUAGUGGGUGCACACUCGGCGAAGCUGGACGACAUCCGGUAAGGCGAGAGGCGCUGGUUCGAUCCCAGCCUCCGACA